rnacentral:rRNA from 1 species
GACGAACGCUGGCGGCGUGCUUAACACAUGCAAGUCGAACGGAAAGGCCCUGCGCUUGUGGGGUGCUCGAGUGGCGAACGGGUGAGUAAAACGUGAGUAACAUGCCCUUGACUUUGGGAUAACUUUAGGAAACUGGGGCGAAUACCGCAUAGGAGCUCCUGAUGCACGGUGGGGGUUGGAAAGUUUCGGCGGUGGGGGAUGGACUCGCGGCUUAUCAGCUUGUUGGUGGGGUAGUGGCUUACCAAGGCUUUGACGGGUAGCCGGCCUGAGAGGGUGGCCGGCCACAUUGGUACUGCGAUACGGACCAGACUCCUACGGGAGGCAGCAGUGGGGAAUAUUGCACAAUGAGCGGAAGCCUGAUACAGCAACGCCGCGUGCGGGAUGCCGGCCUUCGGGUUGUAAACCGCUUUCGCCUGUGACGAAGCGUGCGUGACGGUAAUGGGUAAGGAAGCACCGGCUAACUACGUG